rnacentral:rRNA from 1 species
GACGAACGCUGGCGGCGUGCUUAAAACAUGCAAGUCGAACGGACUUCUCAUGAAGCUUGCGAUUGAGAAGUUAGUGGCGGACGGGUGAGUAACGCGUGGGCAACCUGCCCCUGAGCCCGGGAUAACAGUUCGAAAGGACUGCUAAGACCGGAUAUACUUGCGGUGAAGCAUUUCACUGCAAGGAAAGGGAACGCUCAGGGAUGGGCCCGCGUCCCAUUAGCUAGUUGGUGAGGUAACGGCCCACCAAGGCGACGAUGGGUAGCCGGCCUGAGAGGGUGAACGGCCACACUGGGACUGAGACACGGCCCAGACUCCUACGGGAGGCAGCAGUUGGGAAUCUUCGGCAAUGGGCGCAAGCCUGACCGAGCAACGCCGCGUGAGUGAUGAAGGUUUUCGGAUUGUAAAGCUCUGUCUUCGGGACGAUAAUGACGGUACCGGAGGAGGAAGCCACGGGCUAACUACGUG